AGUCAGAAUAGUAUGUAAGGAGUAGUUUCGAACCUGGACGCUGGGCUCAAAAUCAGCUCUACGGUUUUCCUAGAAAUUUAUACGUUCAUUUUUAUCGCUGAGAAAAGGAUUACUAGAUCUAGCUCCAUAGCCUUAUGGGGAAAUCUUUAGUUUGAUAUAAUUUUUUAAAGUAAAAUGUUAAUAAAUGUAAAUUUAAAUUGAGAAAUAGACCUAUAUCUAUAGCCAACAUUGGUUUUAAAGGGACUAUCACGUUUUUUA